rnacentral:tRNA from 1 species
GAUGAUGGUCGAAAGGUAGCUACGCUGCGGACACAUAACCCGCAGGUCGGUGGUUCAAGCCCACCCAUCACCACCA